rnacentral:rRNA from 1 species
AUGGGGACUAGCUCGCCACCGAGGUGUAGAGACAUGAUCCUGUUGGUGCCACCAACAAGCUUCCCGCCGAUGAAGACGACCGGCACCGAUGGCCCCCUGCCGAGCAUCUUGAGGAGGGAUCUCUCCAUCUCCUUGCCCCUAGGGUCCUGGUCGAGCUCGUGCACCAGCGCAUUGACCCCAAGCUGGUCACGAAACAGACGCUCCACUGUGUGGCACAUGCAGCAGGGACUCAGGGUGAACACCACCACGGCGCGCUCAGAUGCUAGCUUCAUCACACGGUCCAUUUUGUUAUGUAACCUCGCAGCGGUCGAGCUCCGCGGCAAAGUGAUGGAAGGAGGCUCUUGGAAGGGUGUUGAUCAGCUCGUGAGUAGCUUGUAG